CCAAGUGCUGGGAUUACAGGCAUGGGCCACCGCGCCCGGCCCGGAAGUUUCUUUACGGAUCAUCUGGUCCAAUCCCUCUGUUUUACACGUAAGGGAACUAAGACACGAAGUGGCUUCCCCCAGUUCUCAGAUCUGGACUCUAAACCGGUCACACCUCCUUUUCCAGGUGGCAUUACUUAUUGGACAACAGGCCCCCAGCAAUCUAGGUGCCCCUUGAGAUACCCUGGGAGCAAAACACGGUUGUCUUCUUUUAAAGAGUCAAGAGUAACUUUGUAAAUACACGUCCUUGUCAUUCCUAGGAAAUUCUGUGGGAUUAUAGACAUCACUAGCUUCUAAGUGUGCUUUUCAAAAGGCCAGGCAGUUGGGCAGACUGCAGUGGUUACUCUUAGACUUGUAAAUAACUUCUGGGCUGUCCAAGACUGCCCAGUUUUGUGAUUGUUUUACCCUUUGGCUGUUCAUAGGCAAUGAUGAAGGUUUGCGGGAGGAAGAGAAAGAAGGGAAUGGCAGAAUGGGAUGUGGGGGUAAUAGAGAUACAUUUAUUGAGCACUAAUUAUAUCCCUGACAUUAUGCUUAGGGUGUUACCCAAUAUUAUCCCGAUUUUACAGACUGAGGAAAUUAAGUUUAAGUAAUUUGCCCAAGUCUCACAGCUAGCAAGAAGCUGUAGGUUUCAAACUUGGGGCUGUCUGAUUUCAGAGCCCAAGCUUGUCACCACCAUGCUCAUAGGGCAAUGGACAAGAGAAAGCCAGGUUUCCGGGAAACUUCUGAAUGGCCACAGUGAAGAAUGACCCUCUUACAUCCUGCUGAUUGGAUGUCCAGCCUUGAUGGGAUUUUGAGCAUCACAGGGGAAGAGGGGCCAGAAGAGGAGGAGAGCAGUUUCCUGUGUUGUUCCAGACUUGCCUCAUGUUGCCCACAUUUCUCUGGGGCUGACAUAUAUUUUUCCGGUAGGUGUGGCCUGAGGGUGUUGGGGUUUUACUUUUGUGCUGGUGCAGGCAGUUUUCAGGCUCAUAUAAACACUCACUCAGCUGUUUAUUUAUUCAUCCAACAAGCAUUUCUUAGACACCUCCUCUGUCAAUUCUUGAGCCAGUAAGUAAGCAUGGUCCCUGACCCGACAGAUCUAGCUCAGGUUCAGAGAUGCACAACCUAAUUCCAGCAAAGCUUUUUGUAGAUUGUCUGGGGCAGCUUUUACAACCCUUGAUCUUUCCCACUUCUCAGCUAUUCCUGUAGCAGCAGGAAGCUCUACUUUGGAGGAAUGGCAAACAGAUGGAAAAGUGAGGCUGUGAGCUGGCCUGAAGUUUUGGAAAAGGAUGUGGAAACCAGAGACUAACAAGAGGAUUUGGUGGUGUGUGUGAUGUCCCUCUCCCCACUGUUCCAUUUCCUUGGGUACUUAAGUUGGGCUGCUGAUUUAAGGGCCAACUUCUCAUGUAAAAAUCCAUCCCAGCAUCCUCAGCUCAAGUAACUGCCACUUGCCACUUGCCUGCCCCAGCAGAAUUAACGGAAGCUGCCAACAGCCCUGCUGACCUCAUUGGAUGGAACUGUGUCCUCAGCAGACACAAGCUCCUUCUUCUGAGCGAGGCUCCCUCCUAUCUCAGAGCAGGAAGUCCUCUUAUGAGGACUCCAAACUUCAGACAGAGAAGCAGGGGCCAUUCAGUCAUUUACUCUGCUCAGUGUCAACCUAAAGGGAAGAGGCUGAGACACAAAGUAUAAUUUAAAGUUUACUUGAACCAAAAUGAGGACAGCUGCCAGGAAGACUCAGACCCAGGCCUGAUGAUUUAAAAGGACUCACCUUCCUCAGAUGAAAGCUCUUUACUUUUUGCAUCAGGAACUCCCUUUUCUGCUUUCUUGGAGUAUCGGGAUAGGUCCCAUGAAGAGCUGCUGGCAGGGACAGACAGAAGCCAAGGAGAGGCCGUGCAAGGAAGCUGAAGUGCUUGGGAGGGGGCAACAGUCUCCCACCUGCAACCAACAUUAAAAAGCACUGUCACUUCA